UUGAACGCUGGCGGCAUGCCUUACACAUGCAAGUCGAACGGCAGCACGGGAGCAAUCCUGGUGGCGAGUGGCGAACGGGUGAGUAAUAUAUCGGAACGUGCCCAGUAGUGGGGGAUAGCCCGGCGAAAGCCGGAUUAAUACCGCAUACGACCUGUGGGUGAAAGCGGGGGAUCGCAAGACCUCGCGCUAUUGGAGCGGCCGAUAUCAGAUUAGCUUGUUGGCGGGGUAAAAGCCCACCAAGGCGACGAUCUGUAGCUGGUCUGAGAGGACGACCAGCCACACUGGGACUGAGACACGGCCCAGACUCCUACGGGAGGCAGCAGUGGGGAAUUUUGGACAAUGGGCGCAAGCCUGAUCCAGCCAUGCCGCGUGUGGGAAGAAGGCCUUCGGGUUGUAAACCACUUUUGUCAGGGAAGAAACGGUUUGUCCUAAUACGGCGGACUAAUGACGGUACCUGAAGAAUAAGCACCGGCUAACUACGU
rnacentral:rRNA from 1 species